AACUGCAACGGUGGCCUAGUGGUUAGAGCGUUCACCUCAGAUGCGGGAGGAGGCGGGCUCGAACCCCGGCCGAGUCA